GAUGAACGCUGGCGGCGUGCCUAAUACAUGCAAGUCGAGCGAACGGACGAGAAGCUUGCUUUUCUGAUGUUAGCGGCGGACGGGUGAGUAACACGUGGAUAACCUACCUAUAAGACUGGGAUAACUUCGGGAAACCGGAGCUAAUACCGGAUAAUAUUUUGAACCGCAUGGUUCAAAAGUGAAAGACGGUCUUGCUGUCACUUAUAGAUGGAUCCGCGCUGCAUUAGCUAGUUGGUAAGGUAACGGCUUACCAAGGCAACGAUGCAUAGCCGACCUGAGAGGGUGAUCGGCCACACUGGAACUGAGACACGGUCCAGACUCCUACGGGAGGCAGCAGUAGGGAAUCUUCCGCAAUGGGCGAAAGCCUGACGGAGCAACGCCGCGUGAGUGAUGAAGGUCUUCGGAUCGUAAAACUCUGUUAUUAGGGAAGAACAUAUGUGUAAGUAACUGUGCACAUCUUGACGGUACCUAAUCAGUAAGCCACGGCUAACUACGUG
rnacentral:rRNA from 1 species